GAUCCUGGCUUAGGAUGAACGCUAGCGGCAGGCUUAACACAUGCAAGUCGAGGGGCAUCGGGAGUAGCAAUACUUGCCGGCGACCGGCGCAAGGGUGCGUAACGCGUGAGCAACAUGCCCGUAUCAGGGGGAUAAUCCAUGGAAACGUGGUCUAAUACCCCAUAGUAAUUAUGUAAGGCAUCUUAUAUAAUUUAAAGCUUUGGUGGAUACGGAUUGGCUCGCGUGACAUUAGCUGGAUGGUAAGGUAACGGCUUACCAUGGCUACGAUGUCUAGGGGUUCUGAGAGGAAGGUCCCCCACACUGGAACUGAGACACGGUCCAGACUCCUACGGGAGGCAGCAGUGAGGAAUAUUGGACAAUGGAUGGAAAUCUGAUCCAGCCAUGCCGCGUGCAGGAAGACGGCCCUAUGGGUUGUAAACUGCUUUUGUAUGGGAGCAAUAAGGGCUACGUGUAGUCCGAUGAGAGUACCAUACGAAUAAGCACCGGCUAACUCCGUGCCAGCCGCGGC
rnacentral:rRNA from 1 species